rnacentral:rRNA from 1 species
UCCAGACUCCUACGGGAGGCAGCAGUGAGGAAUAUUGGUCAAUGGGCGAGAGCCUGAACCAGCCAAGUCGCGUGAGGGAUGACUGCCCUAUGGGUUGUAAACCUCUUUUGUAUGGGGGGAAUAAGCUUUACGAGUAGAGUGAUGACAGUACCAUACGAAUAAGCAUCGGCUAACUCCGUGCCAGCAGCCGCGGUAAUACGGAGGAUGCGAGCGUUAUCCGGAUUUAUUGGGUUUAAAGGGUGCGUAGGCGGACGCUUAAGUCAGCGGUAAAAUUGCGGGGCUCAACCUCGUCGAGCCGUUGAAACUGGGUGCCUUGAGUGGGCGAGAAGUACGCGGAAUGCGUGGUGUAGCGGUGAAAUGCAUAGAUAUCACGCAGAACUCCGAUUGCGAAGGCAGCGUACCGGCGCCCAACUGACGCUGAAGCACGAAGGCGUGGGUAUCGAACAGGAUUAGAUACCCCCGUA